ensembl:snoRNA small nucleolar RNA SNORA3/SNORA45 family
UCCAAGGCUAGAGUCACACUCAGGUAUUGGUUGUUGCCUUAGUGUGCUAGAGUCCUUGAAGAAUAACUGCUGACCUUAUUCACUGGCUGUGGACUUUCUGGCACGGUCAGUCACCAGGUUAGUGACAUGC